rnacentral:rRNA from 1 species
AACACGUAUGCAACCUGCCCCCGUCCGGGGGACAACCUUCCGAAAGGGAGGCUAAUCCCGCGUAUAUCCCCGAGGGGCAUCCCUGGGGGAGGAAAGCUCCGGCGGACGGGGAUGGGCAUGCGGCGCAUUAGCUAGACGGCGGGGUGACGGCCCACCGUGGCGACGAUGCGUAGGGGUUCUGAGAGGAAGGUCCCCCACACUGGUACUGAGACACGGACCAGACUCCUACGGGAGGCAGCAGUGAGGAAUAUUGGUCAAUGGCCGGAAGGCUGAACCAGCCAAGCCGCGUGAGGGAAGACGGCCCUACGGGUUGUAAACCUCUUUAGCCGGGGAACAAGGCGCGGGACGAGUCCCGCUGUGAGCGUACCCGGAGAAUAAGCAUCGGCUAACUCCGUGCCAGCAGCCGCGGUAAUACGGAGGAUGCGAGCGUUAUCCGGAUUUAUUGGGUUUAAAGGGUGCGUAGGCGGUUGCUUAAGUCAGCGGUCAAAUGGCGGGGCUCAACCCCGUCCAACCGUUGAAACUGGGUGGCUUGAGACGGCGAGAAG